UUCAGCUAAAACCAUUCAUCAUGUUCGCUGUUAUAUUCAUGUGUCUGUGGCAUUCACUAGGUAACUCCAUGGCAGAUUCAAUAGAGACACUUUUCUCUCAUAAAAUUGUAGACGAAGGUGAUUAUGUUACUCUGUCCUGCAAAUACGACUCAAGCUACCCUUCAGGAAACUACCUGCACUGGUACAGACAAUAUCCAAAAUCUAACCCAGAGUUCCUUCUUUAUAUUACUGAUACUGGAGCUCAAAGUCCAAACAUUCCCCCAAGAAUGUCUGCUGAAGUUAAUAGAGAUAAUAAACAAGUGGAUCUGAUCAUCUCCUCUGCUGCUGUAUCAGACUCUGCUUUAUACUACUGUGCUCUGGACUGUGAUGGAAAUGAAGACAUGUCCAACAUUGUUAUUGGUAUUCUGAUAGUGAUUCCAGAGGACUCUGUAACCGUACUCGCUGAAUCUUGA